rnacentral:rRNA from 1 species
AUGGACAAGGUGCUGGCCUUCUCCAUCCUGAGCGCGUCGCCGGCUGACGUCGCCCCCGGCGCCGGCUCCGGCAACAGCUGGGCUCGGCUCUCCUGGCAGCGGCAGGGGAGGAGGCUGCAGGAGCAGCAGGACGACGACGACCAGGCUAGAGCAGGGCAAGACGGAAAGCAGCGCGGUCUGCCGGCUGAGGCGGAGCAGCAGCCGGACAAGGGGAAAUCGCAGUCACCGCCGACGUUGAGGGCGCGGUUCGCGCCGGAGUUCGAUGGGAUCGACUGCUUCGGGACCAUCGUGUGCCACUGA